rnacentral:tRNA from 1 species
GGGCGAUUAGCUCAGCUGGCGAGAGCAUCCGGUUUACACCCGGAAGGUCGGAGGUUCGAGUCCUUCAUCGCCCACCA